rnacentral:rRNA from 1 species
GUGUCAGCAGCCGCGGUAAUACGGAGGGUGCAAACGUUGCUCGGAAUCAUUGGGCGUAAAGCGCACGUAGGUGGCCUGUUAAGUCGGGUGUGAAAUCCCUGGGCUCAACCCAGGAAGUGCACUCGAAACUGGCAGGCUUGAGUACUGAAGAGGGUCGCGGAAUUCCCGGUGUAGAGGUGAAAUUCGUAGAUAUCGGGAGGAACACCAGUGGCGAAGGCGGCGACCUGGGCAGAUACUGACACUGAGGUGCGAAAGCGUGGGGAGCAAACAGGAUUAGAUACCCCCGUAGUCC